UUUUUUUGCAAGCACUAUUACUGGAGAGACAGAAUCAUGUGGUUUGUGACCUCACAGUACUCAAAGUAAAGUGGGACUGCCUACCACUGUGGCUUUUCCCCCUUGCUCUUGCUCUCUUUCUCUCUCUCUCUGACAAAAGGCUUGUGGUAAGGCCCUUCCUGGCAUCCAGAAGGAUAUAGCUUUUUAAUUUUUGUGACUCAUGAGGAUUUGGAUAGAAUACAAAUGCUGAAGGAGCCCAAACUCCUGUAAGGUUAAGCAUCUGUAGAGCAGAACUCUGUUCUUUCUCCUUCCUACCACCCUACCACCGCCCCCCCUCCUUUUUUUGCCUCCUCCUCUUAGUUUAUUAUUGUGUCUGUGGAAAAGGGAGCAAAAUUUGGCUCAAGUGGCUGUGUGAAAUUCUGAACAACAGUGAUGAUUUACAAUAAUUUACAUCUUUGGAUUGUAUCACAUUCUGGGGUCUGCUUCGUAUUUGCUGGGUGGCUGGAUUCCUUCUGUUUUUCUUCUUAAACUUGUGAAUCUGUAACUCAUUGUAAAAAAAGGUUUACCUUUCUUAAGGUCUGGUUGCAAACUGCUUGCUGGGCUGGACUGUAAUUGGCUGUCAUGAAAGUGUUAGUCUGGAGAUACCUUUACAAAUAUUAACUCAUGUCUGUCUAGCUUAUGGAUUAUCAGUAUGAGAUGGCAGCCUCUCUACAAUAAAGAUUAAAUGUAACAUCACGUAUACUUUCAUAUCAUGACCAGUUUGAGAGUCUUAUGAAAAUGAAUGGCAAGAAUCGUAACAUAGUUUAUUGAAUGAAUCUUAGUUUUCUUUAUGCUUAUAGUAUAAUUAUUAUCUUUCAAGGAAAUGCAUUCAUUUUGUAGAAUUCUUCAGUUUAUUUUGCCAUUUGCUUUAACAGAGGCUUUGAUAGCAAAUCUUACACAUAUAUAAAGUAAAAUACUUAUAUUGUAUCUUAGAUUGUUCAUUGUUAGACUUCAUAUGCUCAGGAUGGAGUGGGUUAAGAGAAGCUGUAUUUUUUGUUUAUAAUAGAAGCUUUGAAAUAAAUUACAAAAUGCUGUGUGUAGUGAGGAAUAAUGCACACAGACAGAGUAUGUUAGUCAUCUCGAUUUGCUAAUUCUGAUUCAGAAGAAAAUUGGAAACAUCUUUGGGAAACUAUCUCCUUUUUUGCCCCUUUGGACAUGUAUGUAUAGAACUCAUUUUCUUAUUAGGAUGAUUGUAUAUCAUAGGCAGUGAAAUUUAUAUUUAUGAAUAGGGCUUCCUGUUUUCAUCAGUUGGGAGUGAGGGGGUAUUUUUCAACAAAAAUUGUAAAGCCAAACACACCAAUUUUCUAGGCAUUUUUUGCCAUUUAUCCAUGCCACUCUGAAUUUGCAUGUGUUCGGUUGUUAGACUUCUUCCUAGUGUGAUAGUAACUAGGAGUGGCGUGAAGUCAGUGACUUGGACGGUGGGCGGAGACAGUGAAUUUCAAAACAUUUUUUUGGUGUGUACAAUGGGAUAAGGGGUGGGGAAAUACUUAGGAGGGUGUUAGAGCUAAAUAUCCCUGCAUGUGGUGUUCCUAGCACAGUUCACUGUCUGCUGUUGGCUUAUAUUAGAUAACUGGAAAAAUAUGUCCAUAAAUUUCUUUACAAAAAAUUUUGACUUGUCCAAAGCAUGCUGGGAGGACACAGGAAUAAUUUUAAUCUUUUAUUCAAAUGUCCAGAGCUUUUUCAUACGUUUUAAUGGUUUAUUUUAAGCACUUAUUUAUCAUGCUUAUUUUGUGUAUAAUGAGGUUUUAAAUUGAGAAGUAAAAAUUUUCAUUUAACACACAUUCAUAUAAAAGGGAGAAAAUAAAUUAUUUGGUUAUUCUAUUUCAUAAAUAAGGUGCGCUGGUAUGAUCUAUAUAUCUAAUUAAUAUCUAAAGUAAAUAAAAGAAGGGUUUUGUUCAUAAUAAUUUAUGGAAGUUUAAACUCUUCACAUACAGUAGCAUAAACUCUUUUGCACAUAUAAUAGGAGAGUGAGGCAACUGAAAAUUUUGGGUAACAGCUGUAGUUUAAUAAGUAAAUGGUUUUCUUCUUUUAGAAUGAGGUUUUUGUUUCUGCAUCAGGGUUCUCUGACAUUCAGGCAACCCCAACUUUUUGCUGAGUGUUCGCUUCCUUAAUUUUUUUGUCUCAUGUAUACUUUGGUCCAUGAAAAUUGGAGUAAUUUUUAACAUCUAUGUGCCUUCUAAUUACUUGUUCUCUUAUUGCAGGUUACCCUCCUGCACAUAAUCUUUGGGUCAGAAUCAUCACUCUUAAUGCAUAAGAGUUUAGUAGAUAUUGUUUAAUAGGUCCUUUCCUUUGUCUUGCAUGAGGCCGAUCACAUUCUGGCAGGAGAAAGCGACAUGAUGUGCUUUAAAGUUUGCAUGUUUAUUAUCCACACUUAAUUUUUUUUCCCUAAAUUGAAAAUGUAUCUUUUUUUGUGGUAAAAUUUUUAAAACAACACUGAUAACUGGUACACAUUUGAUAAUUGACAGUUUGUUUCAUUCGAAAUAGCUUAUUACAUGUGAUGAAGAGAGAUUGAUUCAGAAAAGCCAAUGUGCAAGUAAAGCUCUUGAUUAUAGAUUUAUAUCAUGUUUAUAAUCACAAAUGGAAACCACAGGGCUUUUUUUGUUUGUUUGUUUUUUAAGACCUUCAAAACUUCAUCCUGCUGGAGAUAUGUUAAUAUCUGCUUAUGUUUAAGUAAGUAGCAAGUUUAGGUCUACUGUGUAAAUUAUGUUCUUUAAUGUCACGGAAAUGAAAUAUAGCUUUGAACCUGAAGUCAAAUUGCAAAAAGUCAAGAAGUUAGUAUCUUGCCUCCCCAUUACCUUGUAUUUAAUAAAAAUUAUCAGAAUUGGUUGAACUUUUUAAGAUACCAAAAUGUUUACACAUAAUAUAACAUAAAUUGCUUUAAAUGCUACAUAUGUCUUCAUUGUUACCAUUUGGAUUUUUUUUUUGAACUAAUGAUAAUAUUUUAAUAUGCUACUUUAUCAAUAUGGUUCUCAUUUCUGUGCUUUUUUUUUUUUUUUAGGAUUGUGUUAGAGUUCUGUUUGUCACCAGUCUAUUUUAAUUGAAAACAAUAGGAGCAAGACCCUUGAUGUGGGAAUUUUAUAAACUAUAGAAGUCCUAAUGUGGCUUAAAGUGUUCUCACUGAUUAUGAGGUUUUAGCAAAAGACUUUCUUAAUUUUUGUUUAAACUUGGUAUGUGACAAUUUAUUUUUUAUAUUUUUUUAUUUGAUAUCUAGCAGCUCAAACUUACAUAGCAUUUAUUGGGCCUUAUAUUGAUGACUUGUAAAUUUUUUAUAUUAGUAAAAUAUGUAUAGUUUGAUUAAUAUUUUAAAUUAUGAUUAUGAGAUUAAUUGCAUUUCCUUAUUUUAAUGAGGUAUAUAUCUGUGUACACAACUGUAUACACACGUGUGUGGUGGUGUUUGUAUAUGGGGUAAUAUUUUGUAGUACUUUUUAUAAUGAGAGCAUUUUUUGUUUUUAUUUUAGUUUAAUUAAAUUUUUAAAACCCAAAGCACCACCAUUUCCUGGGUUGUUUGAACAACUUGACUUGGUUAAUAUUAGCAGCUAUCUGUAUAAAUGUGAGAUUAUGUGGAAAUUGGAUGCCAAAAGAGAAAAUACUAAACUAACUUUCUCUCUCUCCUCUCUCUCCACCUCACUGUACUUCGGCCUUUUCUUUCUUUUUUUUUUUUUGGUUUCUCUUUUCUCUGACAUUUUCAUAAAGUCUCAAAGUAGAUUCUUAAAAUUCUAGUGAGGGAUAUUGACAUUAAUCGGUCCUAAGGAAUACCUGGCAGGUUAGAAGCUCAUAACAUUCAUUGCAAAUUAUUGUUAUAUUCUGAUAUAUUAUACCUCAUUUGUUAGGCAUGUGUAGGCAUUGUGUUGGCAUCUGACUACAGAGAUUUUGUUUCUUUUAAUUGUUUUCACUUGUUCCUUGAGUCUUUCCUUUAUGUUAUUUUACAUUAGCACAUUGUUUCAUGUGUCAUUAACACUUUAAUUAUGAGGAUUAGUUUUUGUUUCUUUUUUCUCUGACUAUACUUUGAAGCACAGAGUGAUCCAUACUUGUUUAAUGUAGCCGUAGAAGUAAUUUAUGUUUCUUAUAAUUAUUGGAACAAUUCAUCUUCUAAUGCUGUUAUUUCCGCAAGUAGAAAAAAAAGGCGAGAACUUGCACAAAAUAUGGGAAACAUGCUCAUAUGACAGCUGAGGAUGUGGCUAGGCUAAAGCAGGAAACUACUACCCACAAUGCAAUGUUACAUACACUACCACUUAAUAAAAUUUAUAUCAAACAUGCUACUGACAAAACCAAAGAAAAAUAAUAUCCCAACUAUGCUAGUUAAUGGUACUAAAUACAUCUAGGGAAAAGUGAAACUAAUCUUUUUAGAACUUUUUUACUUACAGAAUGUAGUAAAUGAAACUGGGACAUCAUAGUACAUUGGAGCUGCACCGAAACUUUGUCUCAGAGUUUGUGCUAUGGGACUUGGUUGUAGGGAAAACUGUUUCAUAAGGAGAACGUUUUUGGGUAUUAACUCCUGGAAAAGGAACAAAAGGGCACCACUCUUUUUCAGUUGCGUUGUUUCGGUAUUAAAUGGGGUUAGUCAUCUAGUAGGAAAAAUAAAUUAAAUUUCGAGGUAUUCAUUGUGAUUAUCCAGACUUUUCACAUAGCCAGGUGCAGUAUUUCUUUACAUUUUAAGUUGUCUUUUGUUGCCAGGUUUGGGGGAGAGGAGGCUUGAAUUGUCCUCUGAGGCGUAUUUCUUUUCAAAGUAAUUUAUUUUCUUGCUCUUUUUACUUACGUUAACUUACCUAUCAUUUACCCAGUCAGUUCAUGUGCUUUACUGUAGGGAGGUUAGUCUAAAGCAAAAAUCUGAACUGCUUUUGUAAUGUGGUUGAAAAAGAUACUAGGGCAUCUUCUAAAAAAUCAGGUUUCAAUAUGUUUAGGCUUUCUAUUGAUAAAUCUUUAAUGUACUGUGCUCUUAACUGUCGGACUUCAGUAGUUUUGAUGAAUUUAGUACCUUAGCAAUUUAGAUGAAUUUAUAGUUUUUGAGGUUUAAAUAAGGGAACAUUAUAAUAGAGUUUUUGAACUGAUAAAUAAUGCAUAGAAAUUUUAUCAAAGGAAGAAAAGACUGUACACUAGUGUUGCUUAUGAAAGAUUCCCUCUGCAUAGUCCAAUAUAUAAACUAUCAAUGUUUUAUUUCAAAACUGCCAUGGUAUUUGCCAUCUGAUGCUUCAACAUGAAUAUCAUUGUCUAUAUCUCUAUUAAGGAUGAUUUGCUUAAUUGUUUGAAAUAUUUUCUCCUUUAGUUAGAGACUGCUUAUCAAUAACAGCUGUAGCACUGUGGCUUUUCUCCAUGGACUCAUGGUGGUCUGUGGAACAACGUUCUUCAACUUUGACAGUUUUUGUGAAGUAGAUUUUUGUCAUGCACUUUUGAUGAAAGAUCUGACACCAACUUCCAAGAUACUUUAAGGAUUAAAAAAAUACACUAGCUAAAAACAUGUGCUGUGAUGAGAGAGAGGAAGAUAGAGGAAGAACUGGAAUGGUAAAUCCCAACCACUUUUUCCAUACGUGAUCUGGAGAGAAUGAUUUUCCAAGUUUUAAUUUUCAUAAGUGAUUCAUUGAUACCAAGAUGCUAUACAACGUAAAGUGUCACUACUAUUUUUUUUUUCUUUUUAAUAGUAAACUCUGUAUGUGGGUGGUGGCAGAACCACACAGCAAGAAGCAUUCUUUCCUCAUGUCAUAGUUUGUUCUGCUCAAACCAUAAAACACUGUAGUUCCUUUAAUAAUCCCAUUGAGAGAAUUUCAUGCUACUUAGAGGGAGUACUUACAUAUGGGUAACGACAACAUCUUUAAGUAGACUACACAAUUGAAACAGGAAAACCUCAGAAUAGUGGAUGUAAGAAUGAUGUUGAUUAAUUUUAAUAUGGCAUGUUUUAUAUUUAUGUGUCUAUAUAUUACAUUUGACUUUGAAUUCUGUCAAUGAAUUCUAAAUGAAAAGAUACUGCCUUUGAUUCUUUAUGGAAGUUGGGUCAAAAACUUGUUUUUGGUAGGUUACGAGUUAUAUAUCCAUUAACUUUUAUAUAUCUAUGUGUAUACAAACACACAUAUAAUCUGGCUUAGAUAUUUAGGCAUAUAUUUUAUUAUGAUUUAUUGGUAUAAUUUAAUCUUGAUAAGUAUUUCCAUCAUGUUUAUAGAAUUGGAAUUUAUAAUUUAAACAUCAUUAAAUUAAGAUUAUACUUACAUUAAGGAAUUUAAAAUAAACUGAGAGUUGAGCUUCAUUGUAAGUUCUUAAAAUGGAAUUCUAUAUUUGAUUGUAUUAAUGUAUUAUACCAAUUUACAUUCUCAUACAAUAACUGUGGUAAAAGUAUCCUUGAUGUUAAAUUUGAAAUAUUUAAUAAUUUUAGAUUCAUUCAUAUUUUGCUGGAAUUUGAUAUAGCCUCCAAUUUGGCUUUAAUUUAUUUGUUAUAAGAAGGUAGGAUAAAUUAAAGGGAUAUGAUAUAGGUGUACAAACUGCACUGAAAUGCCACUGCUUGUAUUCUUUCUGGUUAUAAUAAAUGGGUAACUCUUAAUAUAAAUAAUAGUCUCCAUGAAUUUUGUGAAAGGUGGGAAAAUCCCACCUUCAUUGAUAACUGUGACAAGGAUCAGCAUGAAUCCAGUUCCUACCUGGAAGUGGAUCCAAAUUUCACCUUCCCACAUCUCCAUGAUCCUCAUUGCCAGCCACAUCAUGUGUGACUCUCCCUCUGACCGUAACCACACAGAAUUGGGUCAGACCUCAUCUGCAGCCACCCUGAGCCAGGACAAAACAUCCCUGGCCACUCUGGGCCAGAUCAUUGGGUACCAGCCAUAAGCUCAGGAGUCUACACAACUCCCCUGCACUUCAGACCAGCUUUCCCCACUUUUUCUUUCUAGCUACCUGGGGCUAGGUCAACAGGUAAGAAGGAUUCUGUCCUUCAGAACCAACGGCCAAUAGGCAGAUGCCAGCCUCUGCUGGUUCUCACUGCCCUUUGUGGGUUCAUUAAUUCUCUAGAAUGGCUCACAAAAUUCGUAGAGACUAUUAUUAAUACUUACAGUUACCCAUUUAUUAUAACCGGAAAGGACACGAGCACUGGUGUAUCUAGGGUAUUGCACAGGCCCUGGGCAUGUGGCACCAUUGAGCAGUUUCUGUUAACUGGAUACGGCCCAAUGUACUUCCUCAAGCAUGAUGUGUUAAUCAAAAGAUUAACGAGCUUGACUUGUAUUUUUGAGCAGAUAUUAUUGUAAAGUUAUCUAAAAGAGUUAUCUAAAGUUAUCUAAAAAAGUCAUGUGUCAGAUGUUUGGACAGGGCUCAAUUUCAAUGCUUGCCAGAGGUGCCAUUUUCCGUAAAUACACCACUGACUGUACCUAGUUAAUAGAAACUGCUCGGUGGUGCCACACGCCCAGGGCCGGACGAAUACCUGCAAUACCUGCCAUGCCCUAGUUACACCUCUGGACGAGUGAAGAGAUGCAUCAGGCAAGAUCUGGG